rnacentral:lncRNA from 1 species
GUCGUAAGCGACGGAAUCGCGUCAUAGCUUCCGUAUGAGCUUUUGUUCUCCUCGAUUGUUGCAUGACUGCUCAUAACCACCACCGCCUUCUCCGCUGCGAGAUCCACCAAUGGCUUCACUGCUUCGGUGGUGACCUCUCUCUUCUUAUUUUUAUUAAGCGUUUGUAAGCGGCAGAAUCGAGCCGCAGACUCCGAUUGAGCUUUAAUUUUCCACGAGUACUAGACUCAGCAACGUACAUGCGUCAUUCUGAUUUAAAAUCUUUGUCCCUGUUUUAGAAUGAGGGUUCAUAGAUAGAGAAUGUGUUGUGUGAGAAAUUGAAAAAGACGGAGAAAAAGAAUGAAGAAGGAGACUCGUGAAGAAGAAG